rnacentral:rRNA from 1 species
GAUGAACGCUGGCGGCGUGCCUAAUACAUGCAAGUCGAGCGAACGGACGAGAAGCUUGCUUCUCUGAUGUUAGCGGCGGACGGGUGAGUAACACGUGGAUAACCUACCUAUAAGACUGGGAUAACUUCGGGAAACCGUAGCUAAUACCGGAUAAUAUUUUGAACCGCAUGGUUCAAAAGUGAAAGACGGUCUUGCUGUCACUUAUAGAUGGAUCCGCGCUGCAUUAGCUAGUUGGUAAGGUAACGGCUUACCAAGGCAACGAUGCAUAGCCGACCUGAGAGGGUGAUCGGCCACACUGGAACUGAGACACGGUCCAGACUCCUACGGGAGGCAGCAGUAGGGAAUCUUCCGCAAUGGGCGAAAGCCUGACGGAGCAACGCCGCGUGGGUGAUGAAGGUCUUCGGAUCGUAAAACUCUGUUAUUAGGGAAGAACAUAUGUGUAAGUAACUGUGCACAUCUUGACGGUACCUAAUCAGAAAGCCACGGCUAACUACGUG